rnacentral:lncRNA from 1 species
ACAAGUUACCAUCUCAAACUGUGCAAAAUCCGAGGAAUGUGAGUGCCAUCACCCUCAGAUCAGGGAAGCAGGUUGUUGUGCCUACAGAGCCAACCCCUACAUCUACACCCACACCUGCUACUUGUCCCAGAAAAGAGGACCAAACUGGUCCAAGCAGGACAUUUGAGGUGGGUGGACCUUCUUCCUCUCCUGGUGGUUCUUCUUCUCCUCCAGGUGGACCUUCU